GGAGAGGUGGGUGAGUGGCUGAAACCGGCAGGUUGCUAACUUGUUGUGCGGGUAAAACCGUACCGAGGGUUCGAAUCCCUCCCUCUCCG
rnacentral:tRNA from 1 species